UUUAUCAGACUUUAUUUUCCUGUAACAAAUGACUUGGACACCCACAAAUUUGACAUUUUCUGCUUAUUUUUCUGAUAUCAGGCUACAGAGAGAGGCAUGGUCUCCCAUUUCCACCACAACCCCUGAUACCAGCGAGGCUCCCAGGACUAGAAAAACCUCCUUCUGGCAACGCUGGUCUCUUCAUAACAAGAUAAGCCCUCAAAGUGAUGUACGCUCUGGGAAUGGUGAAAGCUUAAGUCUUCAGAAGAGCCAGCAGACAGAAGCACCCUCUCCUUCUACCAUCACAACCAGCGAGGCUCCUAGAACUAGAAAAACCUCCUUCUGGAAUUGUUGGC